rnacentral:rRNA from 1 species
GACGAACGCUGGCGGCGUGCUUAACACAUGCAAGUCGAGCGGUAAGGCCCUUUCGGGGGUACACGAGCGGCGAACGGGUGAGUAACACGUGGGUGACCUGCCCUCAGCUCUGGGAUAAGCCUGGGAAACUGGGUCUAAUACCGGAUAUGACUCCAUGACGCAUGUUGUGGGGUGGAAAGCCUUGUGCGGCUGAGGAUCGGGCCCGCGGCCUAUCAGCUUGUUGGGUGGGGUGANGGCCUACCAAGGCGACGACGGGUAGCCGGCCUGAGAGGGCGACCGGCCACACUGGGACUGAGACACGGCCCAGACUCCUACGGGAGGCAGCAGUGGGGAAUCUUGCGCAAUGGGCGAAAGCCUGACGCAGCGACGCCGCGUGAGGGAUGA